rnacentral:rRNA from 1 species
UACGUAGGGGGCAAGCGUUGUCCGGAUUUAUUGGGCGUAAAGAGCGUGUAGGCGGCCUGAAAGGUCAGCUGUGAAAACUCGAGGCUCAACCUCGAGACGUCGGUUGAAACCAUCUGGCUAGAGUCCGGAAGAGGAGUGUGGAAUUCCCGGUGUAGCGGUGAAAUGCGCAGAUAUCGGGGAGAACACCCGUGGCGAAGGCGGCACUCUGGGGCGGUACUGACGCUGAGACGCGAAAGCGUGGGGAGCGAACAGG